rnacentral:rRNA from 1 species
UACGGAGGGGGCUAGCGUUAUUCGGAAUUACUGGGCGUAAAGGGCUCGUAGGCGGCCAACUAAGUCAGACGUGAAAUCCCCAGGCUCAACCUGGGAACUGCGUCUGAUACUGGAUGGCUUGAAUUCGGGAGAGGGAUGCAGAAUUCCAGGUGUAGCGGUGAAAUGCGUAGAUAUCUGGAGGAAUACCGGUGGCGAAGGCGGCAUCCUGGACCGACAUUGACGCUGAUGAGCGAAAGCUAGGGGAGCAAACGGG